rnacentral:tRNA from 1 species
GGUCUUGUGGUCUAGUGGUAUGAUUCUCGCUUAGGGUUAACCCUAAAGCACCGCAUGCGAGAGGUCCCGUGUUCGAUCCACGGCAAGACCCC